GAAAUAAUUGGAGGAAAGUGUAUGGAGCGAGUUGGAUGCGUAUAUACUGAGAGGCGAGGCGUGUUGUUUAUCAUUACGGGUGUAUAUAAACGUGGGAGCGAACCGGCGUGCUCAUACAUUACCGGAAUAUAGCUCGCUAGUAAUACGCAGGCGAAUUGUUCAAGUUAAUUAAAAAUGCUUAAAAUUGUUGUGUUUUCGUUCCUGGCUCUCCUGCUAGUGUCUGUGACGUCUACGCCCCUGGUACCACGGGAUACCUUUGAAGUUAUUAAUUUGGAGGAGCCAUGCGUGCGACAAGGUGGUAUCUGCGUUCGCAUCGAAGAUUGUGAGCCAGAGAACUUAGUAACGAUGCAAGUGGACCUCUGCCCGGUGCAGAGGCACAAAGGAGUCUCAUGCUGCUACCUUUGAGCCAAUGCCGUGGAAGCAGAACUUCACUAUAAUAUAAGUUAAAUACUUUAGAUGCUAAUGAUAACACUUAAUUAGUUAUGUAAGAUUCACUUAUUUAUUAAAUUAGAUUCAACUAAAUUUUUUUUAAGAUAUAAUAUAGGUAUUAUUUCGAAAUAUUGUUUUGACUAAAUACUUAAAUAAAUGUAAGUUAAAUAGU